CUCGUGUCGUGAGAUGUUGGGUUAAGUCCGCAACGAGCGCAACCCCUAUUGUUAGUUGCCAUCAUUCAGUUGGGCACUCUAGCGAGACUGCCGGUAAUAAACCGGAGGAAGUGGGAUGACGUCAAAUCAUCAUGCCCCUUAUGACCUGGGCUACACACGUGCUACAAUGGUUGGUACAACGAGUUGCGAGUCGGUGACGGCGAGCUAAUCUCUUAAAGCCAAUCUCAGUUCGGAUUGUAGGCUGCAACUCGCCUACAUGAAGUCGGAAUCGCUAGUAAUCGCGGAUCAGCACGCCGCGGUGAAUACGUUCCCGGGCCUU
rnacentral:rRNA from 1 species